AGUCAAUCAAUUUGUUAUCAAUCUAAAAUGAUCAUUUGAAUAAAUCAUAAAUGCUAGUAAGGUGAAAUGAUCUACAUCUCAUGUGUGCUCAUUCAACGCGACAGAUAUAGCAGAACAGGUUAUGAUAUAAGGGAAAAUGGUACCAAGAAGCAGAAUAUCUCUCAGUUAUAGGCCUGUAAACGCCAAUGCAGCAGUUAAGAAAGAAGAAGAAUACGCAGGCAUGUCAUUUAGUCAACUAAAAUAUGACAAAGAUUUUGUCAAAUCCACAACAUCUGUGACAUUUCUUGUAAUUAAGAACUGCUAGAACUCCUCAAAAGAUGCAGUAACCUUGUCAGCACCAAUGGACUGUUUUGGAGAUUUAGCUUCCGUAGUUUCCAUGGAAGGUUUAAUUUUGGAGAUUUCAUCUUCCAAGUGCGAGGAAAACGUUGCCUGAAACACCGUAGUUUCCAUGGAAGGUUUAGUUUUGGAGAUUUCAUCUUCCAAGUGCGAGGAAAACGUUGCCUGAAACUUGAAAAGACAUCAAAAGAAUGUAGAGAAGUAAAGAAAGGCAUAGCUAUAUCCAUUUGGCUCAAGCUGUCAAAAGAAAGUAAGAAAGUAAAGAAGGGUAUUUAGCUAUUAGCUUAC
rnacentral:lncRNA from 1 species